rnacentral:rRNA from 1 species
ACAAACAGUUUUAGGUCGCCAGUUGCACUCGUGGGCCGGUGCCCUCCCAAAAGGUUACGGAGGCUAGCAAAGAUUCCCUCAGACUGGAUGGAAAUUGGUCUGUAG